rnacentral:lncRNA from 1 species
CUUUGGGAGGCUGGGGAGGGCAGAUCUCUUAAGCUCAGGAGUUUGAGACCAGCCUGGGCAACAUGGUGAAACCCCAUCUCCACUAAAAACAUGAAAAUUAGCUGGGUGUGGUGGUGGGCGCCUGUAAUCCCAGCUACUUGGGAGGCCAAGGCAGAAAAAUUGCUCAAACCCAGGGGGCAUAGGUUGCAGUGAGCCAGGAUCACGCCACUGAACUCCAGCCUGGGCAACAGAGUGAAACUCUGUCUCAAAACAAACAAAAAACAAAAACCAAACAAAACUAGCUGAGCGCAGUGGCACGUGCCUGUAGUCCCAGCUACCUCAGAAGCUGGGGUGGAAGGACCACUUCAGCCUGGGAGGUCAAGGCUGCACUGAGCCAUGAUCGCACCACUGCACUCCCGCCUGGGUGACAGAGUGAGAUCCUGUCUAAAAAAAAAAAAAAGGGUUGAAGUUGUCAUAAUCAUAACGGGUUGAUGUCAAGGGCAGUAGCUACUCAACCCUUGUUAAAGCUUGCCUUACUUGGUUCUUUUUAUCCAUCAUUCCCUGGCUUUCCUCCUGCCUCUCUGGACAUUCCUUUUAGGUUUCCUGUAUAUUGUUUUGUUCAACCAGUUCUGUUAGUAUGAGUGUACCUCAGAUCUGCAUCCCUGUCCCACUUCUAACUUUACAUGUUUUCUCUGGACAGUCUUAUCUAUGUCUACGGUUUUAAAGUCUCCAUUUUGAGAUGCCCUCAAUCUGUAUGUCAAGUGUAGGUUUUGAUUUCUGCUCCAUUCUGAAACAAUCCCUGCCAUUUAGAUAAUUCUACUUGAAUUUUUCACUGACACCUCAACUGCAAAUUUUAAAAAAUCCAAAUGACAGAAUGAAGUAUAUAAGAAAUAUACUUAUGACAGUAGGAGUCAGCAAGGCUUUUCUUAAGUCUUAGCACACAUGAGCCAAAUGGAGAAGAUGAAAAAAUUUGCCUCCAUCAAAAUUAAUAACAUAAACAAGAGACUAAAAAAUAUAUAGGUGACAUAAAAGAGAUAGAGGAUUAGGGUCUAAUAUAUGUGUGCGUAUGUAUGUAUGUAUGUAUAUGUACAUGUAUAUAUAUACACACUCAAAGAGCUAAAGGAGCCAGGCACGAAGGCACAUGCCUAUACUCUCAGCUACUUGGGAGGCUGAGGUGGGAGGACUGCUUGAGCUCAGGAGUUUGAAACUGCAGUGAGCCCUGAUCACCACUGCUCUCCAGCCUGGGUGAAAAUGAGACCUUUUCUCAAAAAAAAAAAAAAAAAAAAAAAAAGCUAGAGGAAAACAUGGACCAAAAACUCAAGGAAAUAAGAAAAAUGAUAUAUGAAUAAAAUAAAAAUAUGAACAAAGAGAUGUAAAUUACAAAAAGGAAGUAGGCCAGGUGCGGUGGCUCACGCCUGUAAUCCCAGCACUUUGGGAGGCCAAGGUGGGUGGAUUACCUGAGGUCAGGAGUUCGAGACCAGCCUGGCCAACAUGGUGAAGCCCCAACUCUACUAAAAAUAUAAAAUUAGCCGAGUGUGGUGGUGCACUCUUGUAAUCCCAGCUACUCAGGAGGCUGAGGCAGGAGAAUUGCUUGAAUCCGGGAGGCAGAGUUUGCACUGAGCCAAGAUUGAACCACUGCACUCCAGCCUGGGUGACAAGUGCAAGACUCCAUCUCAAAAAAAAAAAAAAAAAAAAAAAAGAGGAAGUAUUAGACAUUCUGGAGCUGAAAAAUACAAUAACGGAAAUUAUGAAUUCACAAAAAGAGUUUAACAGUAUAUUUGAGCAGGUAGAGGAAAGAAUCAGAAAACUUGUAGAUAGGACACUAGAAAUUAACAGGUCUAAGAAACAGAAAGAAAAAAGAAGAAAAGCAAGUAGAACUUAAGGAACUUCUGGUACACCAUAAGAUGGACCAAUAUGCACAUUAAAAGAAGAUUCCAGAAGAAGAAGAGAUAAGGGUGUAGAGGGAUUACUUGUGAAAAAUUAAAGCUGGAAAUGUCUCGAGUUUGAGGAGAGACCUAACAUUACAAAUCCAAACAGCUCAGUGAACUUUAAGUGAGAUAAACCCAAAGAGAGCCACACCAAAACAUAUUAUAAUUAAACUGUUGAAAGUCAAAGCCAAAGAGAGAAUCUUGAAAGCAGCAAGGGAGAAGUGACUCAUCAAAUACAAAGAAUCCUCAAUAAAUUAUAGGCUGAUUUCUCAGUAGAAACCUUGGAGACCAGAAAGGAAUGAAAUGAUAUUUGAAGUGCUGAAAGAAAAAAAAAAAUCUGUCUGCCAAGAAUACUCUACCCAGUACAAAUGUACUUCAAAAAUGAGGGAGAAAUUAAUACAUUCCUAGGUAAACAAAAGCUAAUGGAUUUCUGUACCACUAGACCUGCCCUAUAAAAAAUGCUAAAUGGAGUCCUUCGAGUUGAAAUGAAAGGAUGCUGAACUCAGAGCCAUACAAAGAUAUAAGUUCCUUAAAGGUAAAGGUAAAUACAUAGUCAAAUAUAAAAACCAAUAUUAUUGUAAUUUUGGUUCAUAACAGUUUUCAGCUUCUGUGAGAUUUAAAAGACAAAUAAAUAAAAAAUAAUUAUAAAUGUAGGUUAAUGUGUACACAAUAUAUAAAUAUGUAAUUUGUAACAAUAACAAACUUGAAGGGGGUGGAGCUGUAAAGGAGUAGAGUUUUUGUAUGCAAUUGAAGUUAUUACCAAUUUAAAAUAGAUUGUUAUAACUUUAAGAAGUAAUUUUCAUAGUAACCACAAAUAAAAUAUCUAUAGAAUAUACACAAAUGGAAAUGAGAAGAGAAUCAAGACAUGUGACUACAAAAAAAAUCAACUAAAUCUGGCCAGGCAUGGUGGCUCACACCUGUAAUCCCAGCACUUUGGGAAGCUGAGAUGGGUGGAUCCCCUGAGGUCAGGAGGGCCAACAUGGUGAAACCAGUCUCUACUAAAAUUACAAAAAUUAGCUGGGCAUGGUGGUGUAUGCCUGUAAUCCCAGCUACUCAGGAGGCUGAGGCAGGAGAAUCGCUUGAACCCAGGGGGUGGAUAUUGCAGUGAACUGGGAUCUUGCCACUGCACUCCAGCCUGGGCAAUAGCAAGACUCUGACCAAAACACAAACACACACACACACACACACACACACACACACACACACACACACACACAUCCAAAGGAAGGCAGUAAUGGAGGAAAUGAGGGGGGAAAAAACUGUAAGGCACACAGAAAUAACAAGAUGGCAAGAGUAAAUUUUUUCCUAUUAAUAAUUAGUUUAAAUAGACUAAACUUUUUAGUCAAAAGGUAUAGAUUGGUAGAAUGGAUAAAUAAAAUAUGAUCUAACUCUAUGCCCUCAACAAGAAGCUCUGCUUUAUAUCUAAGGACACAAAUGGUUGAAGAUGAAAGAAUGGAAAAAGAUAUUCCAUGUAAAUAUUAUUAUUAACCAAAAGAGAACAGGGAUGGAUAUACUAUUAUACAAAAUGAAGUUUACAUUAAAAAUGAUUACAAGAGACAAGGAAGGACAUUGUAUAAUGUUAAAAGGGUCAAUUCACCAAGAAGACAUAACAAUUAUAGACAUACAUGCACCCAAAAUCAUAGCUCCAAAACACACAAAACAAACAGACUUGAAUGGAGAAAUAGACAGCUCUACAAUAAUAGUUGGAGACUUCAACCCCACUUCCAGACAGAAGAUCAGUGAGGAAAUAGAGGACUUGAACAACACUAUAAACCAAUUGGACCUAAUAGACAUAUACAGAACACUUCUCUCAACAAUAGUAGAAGAUACAUUUUUCUCAAGUGUUUAUGAAACAUUUUCUAAGAUAGACCACAUGUUAUGUCAUGAAACAAGUCUUAUUAAGAUGUUAAAUUGUAUAUAUUUAAAAAGACAGAAAUCACACAAAGUAUUUUUUUCUAAACACAGUUGAAUGAAAUUAGAAAUCAAUAACAAAAGGGAAACUAGAAAAUGUACAAAUGUGUGAACCUAUAGCCAUACCACCCUGAACACACCAAAUCUCAUCUGAUCUCCAAAGCUGAACAGGGUUGAGCCUAGUUAGUACUUGGAUGAGGAAACUUACAAGUGUGGGAAAAUUAAACAAUACACUCCUAAACAACCGGUAGGUGAAAAAAGAAAUCACAAAGGAAACUAGGGAAUGUCUUGACAUAAAUAAAAUGAAAAUAAAUAAACCAAAACUUGUGGGGUGCAGCAAUACCAGUACUAGGAGAGAGGAACUUAUAGCUCUGAAUGUUUACAUUGAAAAAGAAGAACAAUCUCAAAUCAACAACCUAACUUUAAACCAUAAGGAACUAGAAAAAGAAGGACAAAAUAAAGCCAAAGCUAACAUAAGGAAGAAAAUUACAUAGAUUAAUGUAGAGACAAAUAAAAUAGAGAAUAGAGAAAUAAUACAGAAAAAUAAGCAAAACCAAAAGUUUAUUUUUUGAAAAAAUGCACAAAAUUGACAAAGCUUUAAUUAAUUGACUAAGAAAAAAGAGAUGACUUACAUUACUCAAAACAGAAAGUGGGAGGUAUUGCUACUGAUUAUAUAUAAAUAAGAAGGAUUAUAAGAGAAUGCUAUGAAAAGUUGUAUGCCAACAAGUUGGAUAGUCUAGGUAAAUAGACAAAAUGAAAAAAAUUUCUAGAAACACACAACCUACCAAGACUGAAUCAUGAAGAAACAGAAAAUCAAAAUAGACUCCUAACUAAUAAGGAGACGCAAUCAGUAGUUAAAAACUUUCCAAGAAACAAACUCUAUAGACCAGAAAGCUUCACUAGUGAAUUCAAACAAACAAUUAAAGAAGAAAUAACACCAGUCCUUCUCAAAUUCUUCACAGAAUACUUCCUACGUAAUUUUAUAAGGCCAAUAUUACCCUGAAACCAAAGCCAAAGAUGCUACAAGAAAACUACAGACCAGUAUCAAUAAUAUUCUUGUAAAAAUCUUCAAUACUACCAAGCUAAAUUCAGCAGUAUAUUAAAAAAAUUAUAAACCAUGCCAAAGUGGAAUGUAUUCCCAGAAUGUCAGGUUGUUCAACAUACAAAGCUCAAUAGUAUAACAUACCUGGAAUUACAGUGAAGAAUAAACAAUAACACAUGAUUAUCUCAACUGAUUAGACAAAUUCGACACCUUUUCAUGACAAAAAUACUCUAGAAAUAGAAGAAAACUAUUUAAUAAAGGCUAUGUGUGAAAAGCGUUUAGCUAACAUCGUACUCAAAAGACUGAAAUCUUCUCUUUUAUGAUCAUAAAAACAAGACAAGCAUUCUGCUCUUACUACUCUUAUUCAAUAUAGUAUUUGAAGUUCUAGACAGAGCAAUUAGGCAAGAAAAAUAAAAGCAUCCAUAUUAGAAAGGAAAAAGUAAAAUUAACUCUGUUUGCAGAUGGCAUAAUCUCACAUAUAUAAAAGCCUAAAUAUUUCACACACACAAAAACUUAGAAUAAACGAAUUCAGCAAAGUUUCAGGAUACAAAAUUGACAGACAAAAGUCAGCUGUAUUUCUAAAGAACGAUGAAACUCCAAAAAUGGAAUUAAGAAAACAAUUCCAUUUACUAUAGCAACAAAAAGAGCAAAAUAUUUAGGAAGAAACUUAAUAAAGGCAGCAAAAGACUUUUACAGUGAAAACUAUGAAGUAUUGCUGAAAGUAAUUAAAGACAUAGAUAAAUGGAAAAACAUCCAGUGUUCAUAGAAGACUUCAUAGUAUUAAGAUGUUUCUGAAAGUGAUUUACAGUUUCAAAACAAAUCCCUAUAAAUAUUCCAAUGAUUUUUUAUUAUUUGCAGAAAUAGAAAAACCAUCCCAAAAUUCAUAUGGAAUCUAAAGAGGCCCUGAAUAGCCAAAACUAUCUUGGAAAAGAAGAACAAAGUUGAAGACCUUACACUUCCUGAUUUCAAAACCUACUACAAAACUAUGGUAAUCAAAAGGGUGGUAACGGCAUAAAGACAGACAUAUAGAUAAAUGGAAUAAAGAGCCAAGAAAUGAACUCUCAUAUAUAUGGUCAGAUGAUUUUCAGUGAGGGUUCCAAGACCAUGCAAUGAGGAAAGAAUAGUCUUUUAAACUAAUUGUUUUGGAAAAACUGGAUAUCCUUUGCAAAAUAAUGAAAUUGGACCCUUACCUUAUACUAUAUACAAAUUAACUCCAAAAAGGAUCAAAGACCUAAAUGUAAGAGCUAAAACUAUAAAACUCUUAAGAGAAAAAAAAAAAACUUCAAGACAUUGGAUUUGGCAAUGAUUUCUAUUUGACAUCAAAAAGCACAGGCAACAGAAAAAAAUUGAUAAAUUGAACUUAAUGAAAAUUAAACACUUUUGUGCAAAAGAAACUAUGAACAGAAUGAAAAUGCAAAUCAUAGAAGAGGAAAAAUAUAUGCAAAUACUGUAUCUAGUAAGGAAUUAAUAUCAAUAAUAUAUUUUAAAAACUCUUAUAACUCAACAAAAAAGCAACCUGAUUUUUAAAAUGGGCAAAAGACUUGCUUGAAUAGACAUUUUUCCAAAGAAUAUAUAUGAAUGAUCAUUAAGCACACACAAAAAACCCUCAACAUCACUAAUCAUUAGGGAAAUACAAAUCCAAACGACGAUGGGAUACCACUUUACACCAUUUAGGAUGGCUAUUUCCAAAUAAAUAAAUAACAAGGAUGUGGAGAAACUGGAAAUCUUGUGGAUUGCUGGUAGGAAUGUAAAACAGGACAGCCAUUGCAGAAGACUGAACAGCAGUUCCUCAAAAAAGUAAAUGUAAAAUCUCCACAUGAUUGAGUAAUUUCACUCCUACUUAUUCAUCCAGAGAAACUGGAAACAGACUUGAACAGAUACUUGUGCACCAAUAUUCAUAGCAAUAUUUUGUACACCAAUAUUCCUAGCAAUAUUAUGCACAGUAGCCAAGAAAUAGUAACCCAAAUGUUCAUCAAUGGGUGAAUGGAUAAAGAAAAUGUGGUCAGUAUGUACAAUGAAAUAUUUUUCAGCCUUCAAAAGAAAAUUCUGUUAUAGGCUACAACAUAGAUGAAGCUUGAACACAUUAUGCUAAAUGAAAUCAGCCAACAUCAAAGGACAAAUACUGUAUGAUUCCACUUAUAUGAGGUAACUGGAGUAGUCAAAUUC